CAGCCACAUCACAUUGAAACACUGGUUCUCAAAUAAUCACCAAAGUUAAGCAACACUGAGCCUGGUCAGUACCUAGAUGGGUGACCAUUUGGAAAUACCUGGU